UCAUAUUUCAAAUCAUCAAAAGCUGUAUGUUAUCCACUUCUUUCCUUUCAAAUUUCUUUUUCAUUUCCUCUGGUUACAUAUAGGGUAAAUGAUUAUUACUGAGGUGUUCAAUUGAGGCUUUAAUUAAUGUCUUCAAGGCUCUGCCGCUUUUUGUUCGUGGAAUUGCCUGAGUGACUUCACAAAUGCAACCUCAUUUCGGAAACUAAAAGUUUGUAACUUGCCUAUAUUCUUGUCUUUACUGCAGAGAACAAACAUUUAUAUUGUUCUAAAAAGAGUGAAGGAUGUGUAUCGAAAACAGACAGAGA
rnacentral:misc_RNA from 1 species